AUGACACACAAUUCACACACCACUCCUAGGGUACGCCUCACUGUUGCCUUGCCCUCGAAACGUGGUCGUCGAGUAGAGGGUGUUUUAGUAAGUCCUCAUGUCCAUGAACAUGGCAUGGGGGUAGCUUCUAAGGUAUCCUCCUAUUGCUCUGUCCCGAACCCUCGAAUUGACCCGAACACCUCCAACGGUGGUGCUACCUACCUCUCAAUGGUGGGAUGGCACUACCUUAAGGACAUUUACACAGACUAA